rnacentral:rRNA from 1 species
AUUAGCCAUGCAUGUCUCAGUACAAGCCGAAUUAAGGUGAAACCGCGAAAGGCUCAUUAAAUCAGUUAUGGUUCCUUAGAUCGUACCCACAUUUUACUUGGAUAACUGUGGUAAUUCUAGAGCUAAUACAUGCAAAUAGAGCACCGACCGGAGACGGAAGGUUGCGCUUUUAUUAGAUCAAAACCAAUCGGUGGUGGGCGUUUCUGACGUCCGUCAUCGUACAUCUUGGUGACUCUGAAUAACUAAUUGCUGAUCGCAUGGUCUCGCACCGGCGACGCAUCUUUCAAAUGUCUGCCUUAUCAACUGUCGAUGGUAGGUUCUGCGCCUACCAUGGUUGUAACGGGUAACGGGGAAUCAGGGUUCGAUUCCGGAGAGGGAGCCUGAGAAACGGCUACCACAUCCAAGGAAGGCAGCAGGCGCGCAAAUUACCCACUCCCGGCACGGGGAGGUAGUGACGAAAAAUAACGAUACGGGACUCAUCCGAGGCCCCGUAAUCGGAAUGAGUACACUCUAAACACUUUAACGAGGAUCAAUUGGAGGGCAAGUCUGGUGCCAGCAGCCGCGGUAAUUCCAGCUCCAAUAGCGUAUAUUAAAGUUGUUGCGGUUAAAAAGCUCGUAGUCGAAUUUGUGUCCCGCGCCGCCGGUUCAUCGUACGCGGUGUCAACUGGCGUGCUUCGCGGGACGUCCUGCCGGUGGGCUUAGCGUCCGCGAGGGCGCGGCCCGACUCAAUCCCGCCGCGGUGCUCUUCAUUGAGUGUCGAGGUGGGCCGGCACGUUUACUUUGAACAAAUUAGAGUGCUUAAAGCAGGCUAAAACUUCGCCUGAAUACUGUGUGCAUGGAAUAAUGGAAUAGGACCUCGGUUCUAUUUUGUUGGUUUUCGGAA